AUUUGCGUUCUAACCGUGUGCUUUUGUUGGCAUGUUAAAUGCUUUGCCCUUACCAUCCCGGAAAAGUUGCAAAAUCGCUCCCCGUUGAAGAAGUACGGAACUUCUUUGCUCAGUCGCCUGUAUGACUCAUCGGUAAGGACAGAACAAGAACGUCAGUCAGCCAACGGAGCCGGUUUCCAACAAGAGGCCUUCCUUCUGGUAAAUCUCUAUCCAGCCCAUUCUGUUCCUGUAUGGAUUUAAAGUUUUCAGCAGAAGGCAUCUCAUGCAGUGCUAUAAGCCAAAAACGGCCAAACUGAUACUUAAAACAUUUAACAAAAGCACCACAAACAAGACCCGUUAUAAAAACGAUUUGCUUUGUAGUUCAUCUACACUUUGAACUAAAAGGAUUUAAAAAAAUGUUUUAUACAACUACUUAUUUUUCAAUAAAUGCAUUUUGACUGCUUAGGA